UGGGGAAUUUUGCGCAAUGGGCGAAAGCCUGACGCAGCAACGCCGCGUGGAGGAUGAAGGUCUUUGGAUUGUAAACUCCUGUCAGCAGGGAAAAAGCGAAUCGACCUAAUACGUCGGUGAGUUGAUUGUACCUGCAGAGGAAGCCCCGGCUAACUCUGUGCCAGCAGCCGCGGUAAUACAGAGGGGGCGAGCGUUAUUCGGAAUUAUUGGGCGUAAAGGGCGCGUAGGCGGCCUAGCAAGUGGAAGGUGAAAUCCCUCGGCUCAACCGAGGAUCUGCCUUCCAAACUGCUUAGCUUGAGUCCGGGAGAGGUGAGUGGAAUUCCCAGUGUAGCGGUGAAAUGCGUAGAUAUUGGGAGGAACACCAGUGGCGAAGGCGGCUCACUGGACCGGAACUGACGCUGAGGCGCGAAAGCGUGGGGAGCAAACGGG
rnacentral:rRNA from 1 species